rnacentral:tRNA from 1 species
GCCGACGUGGCGAAAUUGGUAGACGCAGCAGACUCAAAAUCUGCCGCCCGCAAGGGUGUAUCGGUUCGAGUCCGAUCGUCGGCACUA